rnacentral:rRNA from 1 species
UACGGAGGGUGCAAGCGUUAAUCGGAAUUACUGGGCGUAAAGGGUGCGUAGGUGGUUUAUUAAGUUAUCUGUGAAAUCCCCGGGCUUAACCUGGGUUGGUCAGAUAAGACUGGUAGACUGGAGUAUGGGAGAGGGUAGUGGAAUUUCCGGUGUAGCGGUGAAAUGCGUAGAGAUCGGAAGGAACACCAGUGGCGAAGGCGGCUACCUGGCCCAAUACUGACACUGAGGCACCAAAGCGUGGGGAGCAAACAGG